AAGGAUCAUUAUUGAAUAAAGUUUGGUUGGGUUGUUGCUGGCUCUUAGGGGCAUGUGCACGCCUGGCGUCAAUCUUUUCACCACCUGUGCACCUUUUGUGGACUUUGAUGAUAUCUCUUAAGGAAGGCUCGGUUUCAGGACUGACUUUUCUUGCAUUAUCUGGUCCAUGCAUUUUUAUAUAUACUCUCAGUCUGUUUUAGAAUGUUAUUGAAUGGGCUUGAGUGCCCUCAAAUCUUGUACAACUUUCAACAACGGAUCUCUUGGCUCUC
rnacentral:misc_RNA from 1 species